rnacentral:rRNA from 1 species
GCGACCCCAGGAUGGGCGAGACCA